AACGAACGCUGGCGGCAUGCCUAACACAUGCAAGUCGAACGAGACCUUCGGGUCUAGUGGCGCACGGGUGCGUAACGCGGGGGAACCUGCCCUUAGGUUCGGAAUAACUCCCCGAAAGGGGUGCUAAUACCGGAUAAUGUCUUCGGACCAAAGAUUUAUCGCCUUUGGAUGGGCCCGCGUUUGAUUAGCUAGUUGGUAGGGUAAAAGCCUACCAAGGCGACGAUCCAUAGCUGGUCUGAGAGGAUGAUCAGCCACACUGGGACUGAGACACGGCCCAGACUCCUACGGGAGGCAGCAGUGGGGAAUAUUGGACAAUGGGCGAAAGCCUGAUCCAGCAAUGCCGCGUGAGUGAUGAAGGCCUUAGGGUUGUAAAGCUCUUUUACCCGGGAUGAUAAUGACAGUACCGGGAGAAUAAGCUCCGGCUAACUCCGUG
rnacentral:rRNA from 1 species